rnacentral:rRNA from 1 species
GACGAACGCUGGCGGCGUGCUUAACACAUGCAAGUCGAACGGAAAGGCCCUGCUUUUGUGGGGUGCUCGAGUGGCGAACGGGUGAGUAACACGUGAGUAACCUGCCCUUGACUUUGGGAUAACUUCAGGAAACUGGGGCUAAUACCGGAUAGGAGCUCCUGCUGCAUGGUGGGGGUUGGAAAGUUUCGGCGGUUGGGGAUGGACUCGCGGCUUAUCAGCUUGUUGGUGGGGUAGUGGCUUACCAAGGCUUUGACGGGUAGCCGGCCUGAGAGGGUGACCGGCCACAUUGGGACUGAGAUACGGCCCAGACUCCUACGGGAGGCAGCAGUGGGGAAUUUUGCACAAUGGGCGGAAGCCUGAUGCAGCAACGCCGCGUGCGGGAUGACGGCCUUCGGGUUGUAAACCGCUUUCGCCUGUGACGAAGCGUGAGUGACGGUAAUGGGUAAAGAAGCACCAGCUAACUACGUG